CUCUUCAGGGCAGGGUGUAAUUCCCGACCGGCGGUAUAGUCCGCGAGCCCCUUUAUAGGGGCAUGAACCGAUGGAACUUCGGUACCGACAGUAUAGUCUGGAUGGAAGAAGAGA
rnacentral:ncRNA from 1 species